rnacentral:rRNA from 1 species
GACGAACGCUGGCGGCGUGCUUAACACAUGCAAGUCGAACGGUGACCCAGGGCUUGCCCUGGUGAUCAGUGGCGAACGGUGAGUAACACGUGGGCAACCUGCCCCUGACUUCGGGAUAACUCCUCGAAAGAGGAGCUAAUACCGGAUACGACCACUUCGGACAUCCGAUGGUGGUGGAAAGUUUUUCGGUCAGGGAUGGGCCCGCGGCCUAUCAGCUAGUUGGUGGGGUAAUGGCCUACCAAGGCGACGACGGGUAGCCGGCCUGAGAGGGCGACCGGCCACACUGGGACUGAGACACGGCCCAGACUCCUACGGGAGGCAGCAGUGGGGAAUAUUGCGCAAUGGGCGAAAGCCUGACGCAGCGACGCCGCGUGAGGGAUGAAGGCCUCGGUUGGUAAACCUACUUUCUAGCAGGACGAAGCGAAAGUGACGGUACCUGCAGAAGAAGCACCGGCUAACUACGUGCCAGCAGCCGCGGUAA